GGCAGGUGGGGCGAUCGGUGGUGGUGGCGGCGGCGGGAACUUGCAGCGCGUGAGCUGCACGGUACCAGAGCACCGAGUCCCAGAGUGUGCACCUCUGAGACGUUUCAAGGUCCCUGUGGCCUUGAUUUCAGCUUCAAGAUCCACAGCUGUACCGAUAGAAAACCAGCGAGCGCCUGUAUGAGGAACCUCCGUUGGAAGAAGUCCUCUCAGAUUUGCCAGGCCUGGCAGCUGAAGAUUGAUGCGGCCCUUCGACGUGUGCCCCCAACGCUGACAUGGACACCACAGGAGCCUGGUGGGUUGGCUACUAGGUAAUGGCUAAGUCUCUGACAUGGUAAUUGAUACAUAGUCCAUUUGGGUUAUACUUCCUGGUAUAACUUAUCCUUCUCAGAUCUCUGAUGGCAUUGAUGGCUAGGCUAACUAUAGGUUUGUCAGUUUGGCAGCAGCAGCAGGCAACUGGCUCCUUCACCCAAGGCUUGAGCCACCUCAUUCCAUUUCGUAGGGAAAAAUCAAGCCUUGCUGUCUCUAGAGGUACUAGGUCUCUUGUUAAGAAACAGCAGACAGCUUUGCCUUGCUAACAGGCUUCAAAUUAAACUAUAAACAGGUUUCAGAUGUAGCCUUUUCAUUGUUCCUUUAUUUAAACUUGCUUUGCAAUAACUGUCCUCAGUAAUAUAACUGCUCGUGUCUCUGGUAAAUGAUUAGAUGGGAAAAGGAAGAUUCAAAGUCUGUGCAAGUUCUGCAUGUUCAGAGGUAUAGAGGGGUCUGAGGUGGUGAGAAUUCUGAGGGUCUGAAAUCAUUUAAGGUGUAUAAAUGCAAGGUGUAGAGGUAUAAGAAAGUGAUUUAAGGUAUCUGAAAAAUGGGAAAUGUCAGAUUUCUUUCCCUCAGCUGUGAUAUAUUGUUAUACUAAGAUUUUAAAAGUUCAGAACAUCAAUAUUUAUCAAUGGAGUUGUGAUAGCUGGUGGAGCAUUGCUGCUUAGUAUUCAGUCACAAGCUCAAGAUUUUAAGUUCCCGUUAGUUGUCUUUUGAGUAGAGACUUAAAGGUACUUCUCAUCACGCUAAAAACAUCUGUGUUCAAUCUAUAUGUCCAUCCCUCUGGACCGCGAGACAAGAUUGUUUAUGCUUUUUAACCCAAAGCCAUAGCUUUUGCUAGGACUCAGAGGCUUGAGUCUUUUCCAGCUGUUUAACAGAUACCUGUUUGCUGGUUUUUCUGCAAUGUGGAUUUUAGUACAGAUUGGUGCUGAUAUAUCUAAAACUGAAAAAAAAAAUGUAAGCGACUGGAGAGAUGGCUCAGCAGUUAAGAGCACUGGCUGCUCUUCCCAAGGACCAGGGUUCAAUUCCCAGCACCUA